ensembl:lncRNA
UUGCCCAUGAAGGUGGAUGCAGUGAUCCUGCUGUGAUGGCAGUGCACCAGCAGUUCCACUUCAGCUGGAUGCAGUGUCCCUGCAGUGCUUGCAGUGCCCCCCACAUUGUCUGGGAAUGUGGAUGCAGUAGUCAUGCAGUGGAUGCAGUGUCCCACAAGGUGGAUGCAGUAUAUUGUGACGGAGGAUGCAGGGCCCAUGAAGGAGGAUGCAGUGAUCCUGCAGUGGUUACAGUGCACCCUGCUGUGUCGAUGAAUGUGGAUGCUGUGAACAUGCAGUGGAUGCAGUGAUCCUGCAGUGAUUGCAGUGCACCUGCAUUUCCACAUCACCUGGAAGCAGUGUUCCUGCAGGGGUUGCAGUGCCACCUUCUCUGUCCCUGAAGGUGAAUGCAGUGCCCAUGCAGUGGAUACAGUGUACCUAAAGUUUUAUGCAGUAUGUUGUGACGGAGGAUGCAGUGACCAUGAAGGUUGAUGCAGUGUCCCUACUCUGGAUGCAGUGCCCAUGGCAUUUUCCUGGAUUUUGCAUGCAGUGGUCAAGCAGUGUAUGCAGUGUCUCACACAGUGGAUGCAGUAUGUUUUGUUGGAGGCUGUAGUGCCCAUGAAGGUGGAAGCGGUGAACCUGCAGUGGGUGCAGUGUCCACAACAGUUUCCUUGAAUGUAUAUGCAGUGCCCACGAAGGUGGAUGCAGUGAGCCUGCAUUGAUUGCAGUGCACCUGCAGUGUCAAUUUAUCUGGAUGCAGUGUCCCUAAUGUGGAUUCAGUGCUCAUGCAGUGAUGAUGUAUGUUGUGAUGGAGGAUGCAGUGCCAGUGAAGGCAGAUGCAGUGAUCCAGCAGUGAUUGCAGUGCAUCUGCAGAGCUUCUUCAGGUGGAUCCAGUGUCCCUGCAGUGGUUGCCAUGCCUGUUGCACUGUCCCUGAAUGUGGCUGCAGUGCCCAUGCAAUGGCUGCAGUGUCACUGAAGGUAUAUGAAGUAUGUUGUGUUGGAGGAAGCAGUGUCCAUGAAGGUGGAUCAGUGAUCCUGCAGUGGUUGCAGUGCCCUCUGCAGGGUCCCUGAAUGAGAAUGCCGUGCCCCUGCAGUGGAUUCAGUGCCCCACAAGGUGGAUGCACUAUGUUAUGACGGAUGAUGCCUUGCCCAUGAAGGAGGAUGCAGUGAUUCUGCAGUGAUUGCAGUGCACCUGCAGUGACACUUCAGCUGGCUGCAGUGUGCCUGCAGUGGUUGCAGUGCCCCCUUCUGUGUCUCUGAAUGCGAAUGCAGUGCCCAUGCAGUGUAUGCAGAGUACCAAAGAUGGAUGUGGUAUGUUGUGACAGAGGAUGCAGUGCCCAUGACGGUGCAUGCAGUGUUCCUGCACUGGUUGUCGUGCCCCCUUCCGUGUCCUUGAUUGUGGAUGCAGUGCCCAUGCAAUGGAUGCAGUGUCCCACAAGGCAGAUGCAGUGUGUUGUAAUGUGGGAUUCAGUGCCCAUGAAUGUGGAUGCGGUGAUCCUGCAGUUGUUGCCG